rnacentral:rRNA from 1 species
CUACGGGUUGCAGCAGUGAGGAAUUUUGCGCAAUGGGCGAAAGCCUGACGCAGCAACGCCGCGUGAGUGAUGAAGGCCUUCGGGUCGUAAAGCUCUGUCAAGUGGGAAGAACCUAUGUAAUGUUAAUAUCAUUAUAUACUGACGGUACCACUGAAGGAAGCACCGGCUAACUCCGUGCCAGCAGCCGCGGUAAUACGGGGGGUGCAAGCGUUAUUCGGAAUCAUUGGGCGUAAAGGGCACGUAGGCGGCCUGGUAAGUCAGAUGUGAAAGCCCGGGGCUUAACCCCGGAAGUGCAUUUGAUACUGUCAGGCUUGAGUAUGGGAGAGGGAAGUGGAAUUCCUGGUGUAGAGGUGAAAUUCGUAGAUAUCAGGAGGAACACCGGUGGCGAAGGCGACUUCCUGGACCAAUACUGACGCUGAGGUGCGAAGGCGUGGGUAGCAAACAGGAUUAGAUACCCCCGUAGUC